rnacentral:misc_RNA from 1 species
CUGUUAUCCUACUGGAGAGUGGUCAACUGGGUAAUCACUAAGUGACUUGCACUCACGAGUCACGACACAAGAUUCUAUGCAGUAAACAUUUUGAUGACUCCUCAUUUACUAGCAGUGUUAGGAUAAGAUUAAACAAUUAUGCCAUCCCAAUUGGAACACAGGACUUGUGGUAAAGUUUCGCCAGGAACAAUGUUCAACUACAAGUGGAAGUGAACAAGAUACAAACAUCUCAGUUGAAAGACCUCAAGUGCUAGUAACAAUGGAAACUUCAUUACCUGUUCUGGAGCCAACCAUAUGUAAACCAACUAUGGUUAGCCUGAAGAUGCCAAAGACUAAAGGGAUUUUGAGGGAGCUGAAUUUAUGCAAGUCAGUAGAGUUGACCCCUAAAAAACUCAAACUUUACAAAAAAUGUAGGAGAAAUUUAAGCGAAAUUAUGAGACUAAGAAAAAAAAUAAAGAAACAACCACAUGCCCGCCCUGUUCAAACAAUUAACUACAGAUAAAAAAUAUAAAAAGUCUCAUAGAUAAAAAUAUAUCACAGCCAUUUGCAUUAUUGUUGCAAACUCAACUCCAAAAUACUCCAUAAACAUCCAAGCAUUAAACUCUCUUGGUUACUCAUCCAUAUUUGGACUUUAAGGGUCAUGAAAUUGUAACAAUUAUAGAUCCACCUCACCUAAUCAAAUGCUUCAGGAAUCAUUUUCUGAAGUACGACAUCAAAUCAAGCAUUGCAAAUUGAUGAAAAGUCUAUGUCAGUUAAUUUAAAUGUUGUAAAUAGCCUACCUUGCCAAGUAUUCAGCCAAUCAGUCGCUGCAGGAAUACUUGCGAAGAUUGCAAACAGUAAAUUGCCAUAAUGACGAGCUUCAACAAGAAGCAACAACGACAGCCAUGCUGAUAGAAAAAAAAUAUACCAGCUGUUCAACACCUUAAAUGGCGAUACGCCUGAUCGGAAAAGAGGACAAAAAUUCCUUACAAAUUUUACCCCAAGAAGCCCACAUUUAAAUUAUUUUAUUAAAAUGAAAACCAUGUUCCAGAAAUUAGCUAGUACAUUCUUGAUCCGUACAGCCAAAGAAUGGAACUCUACCAGCGUCUGUGUUUCCAGAAAAUUAUAACCUGGGGAUCUUUAAGUCGCGAGUGAAUAGGUUACUUCUAGGUAAGCGUGCUCCAUCCUAGACCGCAUUUUCACUUAUCAUCAG